ensembl:snRNA U6 U6 spliceosomal RNA
GUGCUUGCUUCAGCAGCACAUACACUAAAAUUGGAACAAUACAGAGAAGAUUGGCAUGGCCUCUGCGUAAGGAUGACACGCAAAUUCGUGAAGUGUUCCAUAUUUAA